rnacentral:rRNA from 1 species
CGAAGCGUGCGAUUGGAUUGCACGUCUAAGCAGUAAGGCUGAGUAUUAGGCAAAUCCGGUACUCAUUAAGGCUGAGCUGUGAUGGGGAGAAGACAUUGUGUCUUCGAGUCGUUGAUUUCACACUGCCGAGAAAAGCCUCUAGAUAGAAAAUAGGUGCCCGUACCGCAAACCGACACAGGUAGUCAAGAUGAGAAUUCUAAGGUGAGCGAGCGAACUCUCGUUAAGGAACUCGGCAAAAUGACCCCGUAACUUCGGGAGAAGGGGUGCUCUUUAGGGUUAACGCCCAGAAGAGCCGCAGUGAAUAGGCCCAAGCGACUGUUUAUCAAAAACACAGGUCUCUGCUAAACCGUAAGGUGAUGUAUAGGGGCUGACGCCUGCCCGGUGCUGGAAGGUUAAGAGGAGUGGUUAGCUUCUGCGAAGCUACGAAUCGAAGCCCCAGUAAACGGCGGCCGUAACUAUAACGGUCCUAAGGUAGCGAAAUUCCUUGUCGGGUAAGUUCCGACCCGCACGAAAGGCGUAACGAUUUGGGCACUGUCUCAACGAGAGACUCGGUGAAAUCAUAGUACCUGUGAAGAUGCAGGUUACCCGCGACAGGACGGAAAGACCCCGUGGAGCUUUACUGUAGCCUGAUAUUGAAAUUCGGCACAGCUUGUACAGGAUAGGUAGGAGCCUUUGA